UGUGUGUGUUUCUUUCUUCCACAAAGAAUGUCUUGAUUAGGGAUCGAAUGGUUGCAGCAGUCCACUCCAUUAUUCAAAAUAAGCUAUUUCUUAAUGUUCAAGCGUAUUUUAAUAUUUAGGUCCUUCGUUACUCCUCUAAUAUGUGUUGCUGAACAUGUUGACUAUAUACAUUUUGUUCCUCUCGUAAUAAGCUUUCUAAUGAGGUGUAAGGUUUAUCUAUAAUUAAGGGCUAAAGGGUCACAGCAUUCCAUUCCAUUAUUCAAAAUAUCUAUUUCAUUAUUCAAAAUUGGCUAUUUCUUAAUUUUCACGCGUAUUUUGGCAUUUGAUCCUCCGUAAACCCUCUAAUGGUCAUUGCGGCACAUAUCGUUUAUACUCAGUUUAUUCCUCUAUCAAUAAGCUUUAAUUUAGUGUAUAAAUUUUGCCUUGAUUAGGGACUGAAGGGUUGCAGCAGUCCAUUACAUUAUUCAAAAUAAGUUAUUUUUCAAUGUUCACGCGUAUUUCGAAAUUUAAGUCCUUUGUUACUCCUGUAAAAUCCGUUGCGGAACAUAUUGACUAUAUACCUUUUGUUCCUCUCUUGAUAAGCUUUCGAUUGAGGUAUAAUAUAUAUCUGUAAUUAGGGGCUAAAGGGUCAUAGCAGUCCAUUCCAUUAUUCAAAAUAACCAUUUCAUUAUUCAAAAUAUCCAUUUCAUUAUUCAAAAUUGGCUAUUUCUCGAUGUUCACGCGUAGUUCGAUAUUUAAGUCCUUCGUUACUCCUCUAAUAUGCGUUGCAGAACAUAUUGACUAUAUACAUUUUGUUCCUCUAUUAAUAAGCUUUCGAUCUAGUUAUAAUAUAUAUCUGUAAUUAGGGGCUGAAGGGUCCUGCCAGUCCAUUCCAUUAUUCAAAAUUUCCAUUUCAUUAUUCAAAUUUGGCUAUUUCUCAAUGCUCACGCGUAUUUCGAUAUUUAAGUCCUUCAUUUCUCCUCUAAUAUGCGUUACGGAACAUAUUGACUAUAUACCGUUUGUUCCUUUCUUGAUAAGCUUUCGAUUGAGGUAUAAUAUAUAUCUAUAAUUAGGGGCUGAAGGGUCCUGCCAGUCCAUUCCAUUAUUCAAAAUUUCCAUUUCAUUAUUCAAAAUUGGCUGUUUCUCAAUGUUGACGCGUAUUUCGAUAUUUAAGUCAUUCGUUACUCCUCUAAUAUGGCGGAACAUAUUGACUAUAUACAUUUUGUUCCUCUAUUAAUAAGCUUUCGAUCGAGGUAUAAUAUAUAUUUGUAAUUAGGGGCUGAAGGGUCCUGCCAGUCCAUUCCAUUAUUCAAAAUUUCCAUUUCAUUAUUCAAAAUUGGCUAUUUCUCAAUGUUCACGCGUAUUUCGAUAUUUAAGUCCUUCGUUACUCCUCUAAUAUGCGUUGCGGAACAUAUUGACUAUAUACAUUUUGUUCCUCUAUUAAUAAGCUUUCGAUUGAGGUAUAAUAUAUAUCUGUAAUUAGGGGCUGAAGGGUCCUGCCAGUCCAUUCCAUUAUUCAAAAUUCCAUUUCAUUAUUCAAAAUUGGCUAUUUCUCAAUGUUCACGCGUAUUUCGAUAUUUAAGUCCUUCGUUACUCCUCUAAUAUGCGUUGCGGAACAUAUUGACUAUAUACAUUUUGUU
rnacentral:lncRNA from 1 species